AGAAGCAGGAGAGAGUGAGGAAAAACCAUCAUGACGAAGAAGUCGAAGAAGAACAAGGAAGACCGCAAAAAAAGCCUGUAAUUAAAGUCACAAGUUGUCAUGCGUACUUAGUAUGAUAGAAGGGAAGUGCCAUUUAUAACAGUGCUACAGGGCUAUCUGUGUCCCGCGCUCUCCGCUACACUUCUGUCCUUCAUGCGGUUUGCGCAUUAAACUGUAACUUAACAGGUAGUAAAGUCAACUUUAGUGGCGCGACUUUGUUGAAAUGGGUUUCGUUUAUCCCAGUCGUUAAUGAAUCCGUAUGAGAGUCUUUCCUAGAUGUUUAGUUCCAAUGAGUCGACAGCACAACAUUACCAGCGGCAAGUUUAUAUUUAAUACAUGUAUUGCUAGGGCGAGUAAGAACACACCAUGGCAGACAGAAGGACUUUCAACGUUGUGAUUUUGGGUGUGGGAUUUUUGUUCAUUUUUACCGCCUUCACCACUUGUGGGAACGUUGAACAAACUGUAGUGAAAAGCCUGCAGACUGAUACCUUCACUGGGAGUGGCUACCACAGUCUUGGAAUAAUCUAUGGGGUAUUUUCGUUCUCCAAUUUACUUGCGCCAACAGUCGUUGCAGUAAUUGGACCAAAAAUGACUAUGUUUUUGAGUGGCCUUCUUUACAGUGGGUACAUUGCUGUGUUCAUCAUCCCUUCAACGUGGUCCUUUUACCUGACCUCUGUACUGAUCGGCAUAGGAGCAGCCAUGCUCUGGACAGCUCAGGGACACUUUCUGGUGGAAAACUCUGAGGCUUCCACCAUCAACAGGAACACAGGGAUGUUCUGGGCUCUCCUACAGUGCAGCAUGCUGUUUGGCAAUCUUUACAUUUAUUUCGACUGGAAUGGAAAAACAGAGGUAUCAGACAGCAGCAGGAAAAACAUUUUUCUGUCCCUGUUGGUCACCUCCAUACUUGGCACACUCAGCUUCCUGGUGUUGAGAAAGAGCCGUCAUGAAGACGAGAUGCUCUCUGAAGAGGAAGGGCAGGCACUGCUCUCAACUCCUGUGAUGUAUAAGCACAGAGCAAACACUGCCAUGCAGGAUGCCAAGUCAGAAUUCAAAACCAUUCUGCAACUUCUGAAGACUAAAACGAUACUGCUCCUGAGUCCCUGCAUGGCAUACAGUGGCCUGGAGCUAUCUUUCUACAGCGGAGUGUAUGGGACGUGUAUCGGAGCAACUACACAAUUUGGAGAAGCAGCUAAAGGCUUGAUUGGGAUCUCUGGGAUUGUGGUAGGCAUUGGAGAAAUUGUGGGUGGAGGCUUGUUUGGAUUGUUGUGUAAGAACAAUCGCUUCAGACGGACCUCGGUUGUGUUUCUGGGAAUGGUUGUCCAUUUUGUUGCUGUCUAUUUGAUCUUCCUCAACAUCCCAGAUGAUGCCCCGGUUGUCUUUAGUACCACCACCCAACAUAAACCAUAUCUAACUCCAAGUGUAUCCAUUGCACUGCUGUGCAGCUUCUUGCUUGGACUUGGGGACAGUUGUUUCAACACACAGCUCUACAGCAUAUUAGGCUGUGUUUAUGCUGGACAAAGCACGCCUGCUUUUGCCAUCUUCAAAUUCAUCCAGUCUGUUUUUGCAGCAGUGGCGUUCUUCUACAGCGGUUACCUCCUGUUGAAGUGGCAGCUCCUGCUGAUGGUCACCCUGGGCUUCUCUGGAACGCUGUGCUUCUUCGUGGUGGAGAGGAUGCAGAACUUCUUGGUAGAUUUGCAGGAAUAUUAGAAAGAAUACAUUUCUGUAUCAGCAUUGAUUGUUCCUUGGGAGGAACUACAGCCAUCAGAAAAACAAUCCUGUCUUUUUCAUUUCACAAGGGGUUAUUCUAAAAUCUUUUAAUAUAACACACUGUAGGUCAUACAUACAUACACACACACACACACACACACACACACACACACACACACACAGUAUACACAUACAUACACACAUACAUACACAUCUGGAUAACAUUUAUACUUAAAAUAAGAUUUUAAUUGUUGCAAGAACUGAAACCGAGUUGCCUGAAGAGAACAUUUGAAUAGCAUUACAUGGUUGUGAAUCAGCCUGGAUCGUACCUUGCACUGUCUGUUCUAAUAA